rnacentral:tmRNA from 1 species
GGGGGCGAACAGGUUCGACGUGGGUCAGUGUGGGUAGUGGCUGCAGGCCGAGCUCCCGCGCCUCGUUAAUCCGUGGGACCAAAGUAAAGGCCAACGAGAGCUACGCUCUAGCCGCUUAGCGCGGCUACGUCCACCGGACUUCCGCCUGUAGGGUCCGACCUGGGCGUCACAGAUGCAGGCUCACCGGGCGGCCGCGCCUGGAACCGUCCGGGACACUGACAGGCUAGCAGCUUCCGGCGUCGCCUCCGAGAACCGGAAGAGUGCGAACCAAGCUCUCGGAGGAUAAGCUUGUAGACGCCGCUACUCGCGCACCUGCGGACGCCGGUGCGAUUCCGGCCGCCUCCACCA